rnacentral:rRNA from 1 species
AGGUGAAAUUUAUAGUUUAGUAGUAAUGUUAAAAUUUGCAGAUUUGCUUGGAAGCUAUUAAAAUUUAGAUUUAAACCAGGAUUAGAUACCCUGUUAUACUAUAUUCUAAAUAUAUUGCUUGAUUAGUAUUAGUUAUGAGCUUGAAAUUUAAAGGAUUUGGCGGUAUCCAAGUCUAGUUAGAGGAACCUGCUACUUAAACGAUAUACCACGAAUUAUCUUACUUUGUCUUGUUUAUUAGCAUGUAUACCGCCAUUAUUAGGUGAUAUAUUAAUAUAACCAUUGAAAUUAAUUUUUAUUAAAUAUAUUAGGUCAAGGUGCAGCUGAUGGCAAAGUUGUGGGUGGGUUACAAUAUAUUGUAUAUAUAGACGGAUAAUUUUUUGAAAAUAAAGUUUGAAGGUGGAUUUAAUUGUAUUUUUAUUUUAAUAUGUUAGAUUGAUAUUAGCUCUAGGAUAUGUACACAUCGCCCGUCGCUCUCAUUACUUAAAAUGAGAUA